rnacentral:rRNA from 1 species
UGCAACGCGAAGAACCUUACCUGGUCUUGACAUCCCGGAGACCCUUAGGAAACUAGGGGGUGGCUUCCAUCUGGAAGAAUCUGGAGACAGGUGCUGCAUGGCUGUCGUCAGCUCGUGUCGUGAGAUGUUGGGUUAAGUCCCGCAACGAGCGCAACCCUUGCCUUUAGUUGCCAGCAGUUCGGCUGGGCACUCUAAAGGGACUGCCGGUGUUAAACCGGAGGAAGGUGGGGAUGACGUCAAGUCCUCAUGGCCUUUAUGACCAGGGCUACACACGUACUACAAUGGCCGAUACAAAGGGCAGCGACACUGCGAGGUGAAGCCAAUCCCGUAAAAUCGGUCUCAGUCCGGAUUGGAGUCUGCAACUCGACUCCAUGAAGUUGGAAUCGCUAGUAAUCGUGGAUCAGCAUGCCACGGUGAAUACGUUCCCGGGCCUU